rnacentral:tRNA from 4 species
GCCAGCGUAGCUCAGUGGUAGAGCACCCGAUUCGUAAUCGGGCGGUCGUCGGUUCAAUCCCGACCGCUGGCU